UCCCUGGUGGCUCAGACGGUAAAGCAUCUACCUACAAUGCAGGAGACCCAGGUUCGAUCCCUGGGUGGGGAA
rnacentral:tRNA from 1 species